UCUCCGUUGGUGAACCAGCGGAGGGAUCAUUACCGAGUUUACAACUCCCAAACCCCUGUGAACUUAUACCUUUACCGUUGCUUCGGCGGGUCAUUGCCCCGGGGAAACAGGCGGCCGUCAGGUCCCUGCCCACCCGGAAACAGGCGCCCGCCGGGGGACUCAAACUCUUCUGUAUUUUUUUGUUUACUGUAUACUGUCUGAGUAAAAAUUCAUAAUGAAUCAAAACUUUCAACAACGGAUCUCUUGGUUCUG
rnacentral:misc_RNA from 1 species